GGUGGCGUAGCCAAGUGGCCUAAGGCGGGAGUUUGCAAAACUCCUAUUCGCCGGUUCAAAUCCGGCCGCCACCU
rnacentral:tRNA from 1 species